UGGGGAAUAUUGCACAAUGGGGGAAACCCUGAUGCAGCGACGCCGCGUGAGCGAAGAAGGUUUUCGAAUCGUAAAGCUCUGUCCUAUGAGAAGAUAAUGACGGUAUCAUAGGAGGAAGCCCCGGCUAAAUACGUGCCAGCAGCCGCGGUAAUACGUAUGGGGCGAGCGUUGUCCGGAAUUAUUGGGCGUAAAGGGUACGUAGGCGGUCUAUUAAGUCAGGUGUGAAAGCGUGAGGCUUAACCUCAUUAAGCACUUGAAACUGAUAGACUUGAGUGAAGGAGAGGAAAGUGGAAUUCCUAGUGUAGCGGUGAAAUGCGUAGAUAUUAGGAGGAAUACCGAUGGCGAAGGCGACUUUCUGGACUUUUACUGACGCUCAGGUACGAAAGCGUGGGGAGCAAACAGG
rnacentral:rRNA from 1 species